AUACGGAGGAUCCGAGCGUUAUCCGGAUUUAUUGGGUUUAAAGGGUGCGCAGGCGGCCAUUUAAGUCAGCGGUUAAAUCGUGGGGCUCAACCCCAUUCUGCCGUUGAUACUGGGUGGCUUGAUUGCGGUCGAGGUUGGCGGAAUUCGUGGUGUAGCGGGGAAAUGCAUAGAUAUGACGAAGAACACCGAUUGCGUAGGCAGCUGACCAGACCGCAAAUGACGCUCAUGCACGAAAGUGCGGGGAUCGAACAGGAUUAGAUACCCUGGUAGUCCGCACAGUAAACGAUGAAUACUUGUUUUCGGCGAUAUAAUGUCGGAGGCAAAGCGAAAGCGAUAAGUAUUCCACCUGGGGAGUACGCCGGCAACGGUGAAACUCAAAGGAAUUGACGGGG
rnacentral:rRNA from 1 species